GCAAGACAGAUCAAUGUGGAUAAUGUUUCAACGCUUUAUGAAAGUGAUAUGUUUUCUAAGAACAGAUUUGUACAUGACAAGAAAAGAAAGCUUAUCAUUCAGACAUUAUGAGAAGCCCUAAGAAUGUGAACAUGUAAGAUAAUGAAUUGAGACAUCAAUACGUCUGAGGCAUCGAGAACCAUUACCAAACAUAAACAAACCUUACCAAAUCAGGUAUUAUACAAACUAUAACUUUAUUUCUGUAUAUGAUAAUUUAAUGCAGUUAUUCACCAUAUUUUAAUAAAAAAGUGUGAAAAUCAGCCAUUGGAUUCUCUUGAUCCUUUUAAGGUGCAAUGCACCCUGUUUGAUGCCUCCCAUACAGUAGUUAAAUAUGCUUUGGAAACUCAUUAGAAUAACAACAUAACUCAUUAUGUAUGUUAGUCAAUGUUUAUUCACAGAGGUUUAUUCAUAAAUUUGUUCCUUCAUUGUCACGUGUGUAUUGUAUUUUUGCCAAAUCCACCAAUAGCCAUUUUCAAUUUACCCCAUUGUUCCAGUCACAGAUGGGUAAUUUUCCUAAAACAUUGCUAUUGGUUAGUUUGGCAGAAAUCAUUAAUCUUACUUACUUACUUACUUACUUACUUACUUACUUACUUACUUACUUACAAAUACCCACCCAUAUACACCCAACCACCCAACCCCAACCCACCCAUACCCACCCACCCUAAACCCAC